rnacentral:rRNA from 1 species
AAAGUUUGAUCAUGGCUCACAUUGAACGCUGGCGGCAUGCCUAACACAUGCAAGUCUAACGGGGGUAGUGAUACCCCCCUGUCGACUCCCAUGAGUAACGCGGGCGAAUCUGCCUGGUAGAGGGAGACAACCCGGGGAAACCCUGGCUAAUACCGCAUGAUCUCGCUAGAGGAUUGCGGGGGACCAUCUGGCCUCUGGCUACCGGAUGAACCUACAUCUUAUUAGCUGGUUGGUGUGGUAACGGCCCGCCAAGGUCACUAUCGGCAGUUGGUCUGAGAGGACGAUCCUGCACACUGGGACUGAGAUGACUUCCCGACUCCUACUCCAGGCUCUCUGCUUGAAUAUUGGACAAUGGGCGAAAGCCUGAUCCUACAAUGCCGCGUGUAUGAAUACGGCCUGCGCUUUGUAAAGCCCUUUUGGGUGGCGAAGAACGGUGGUUUGCUGAACGACGGACUGCUCUGACAUUACUCCUUGAACAUGCACCAGAUAACUCCGUGCCAUCUGCCGCGGUAAUUCGGAGGGUGCGAGCGUUAAUCGCGAAUUACUGGGCGUAAAGCGUGCGUAGGCCGCUUGUCAGUCACCCGUGAAUUCCUUUGAGUCACACUGUUAACGGCGUUCGAGACAGCCCGUCUCGUUUGCGCUAUAGGACUGACGAACUCUGUGUGUAGCGGUGAUAUGCGUAGAGAUCGUUUAAAACACCGAUGGCGGAGGCUGCGGUCUGGUGUCAUACUCACACUGACGUGCCACAGCGUGAGGUACAGACUAG